rnacentral:rRNA from 1 species
CCUACGGGAGGCAGCAGUGAGGAAUAUUGGUCAAUGGGCGGGAGCCUGAACCAGCCAAGUCGCGUGAGGGAAGACGGUCCUACGGAUUGUAAACCUCUUUUGCCGGGGAGCAACGGGGUCCUUGCGAGGGCCCGAUGAGAGUACCCGGAGAAAAAGCAUCGGCUAACUCCGUGCCAGCAGCCGCGGUAAUACGGAAGGUCCGGGCGUUAUCCGGAUUUAUUGGGUUUAAAGGGAGCGUAGGCCGGUCUUUAAGCGUGCCGUGAAAUUUUGUGGCUCAACCAUGAGAGUGCGGCGCGAACUGGAGACCUUGAGUGCGCGGAAGGCAGGCGGAAUUCGUGGUGUAGCGGUGAAAUGCUUAGAUAUCACGAAGAACCCCGAUUGCGAAGGCAGCCUGCCGCAGCGUUACUGACGCUGAAGCUCGAAAGCGCGGGUAUCGAACAGGAUUAGAUACCCUAGUAGUC